rnacentral:rRNA from 1 species
AUUGAACGCUGGCGGCAGGCCUACCACAUGCAAGUCGAGCGAGCGGCGGACGGGUGAGUAAUGUCUGGGAAACUGCCUGAUGGAGGGGGAUAACUACUUGAAACGGUAGCUAAUACCGCAUACCAUCAGAUGUGCCCAGAUGGUAUGAGCUAGUCGGGGGGGUAACGGCUCACCUAGGCGACGAUCCCUCGCCGGUCUGAGAGGAUGACCAGCCAGACGGGAAGUGAGAGACGGACAGGACUCACACGGGAGGCAGCAGUGGGGACAAAUGCACAAUGGGCGAAGGUGUGAUGCGGCCAUGCCGCGUGUGUGAAGAAGGCCGUCGGGUGGUAAAGGACUUUCAGCGGGGAGGCGUUACCCGCAGAAGAGGCACCGGCUAAGUCCGUGCCAGCAGCCGCGGUAAUAC